AGAGUUUGAUCCUGGCUCAGGACGAACGCUGGCGGCGUGCCUAAUACAUGCAAGUCGAGCGGGGUGUCGGAGUGGAGUCCUUCGGGAUGAAGCACCGUCAACCUAGCGGCGGACGGGUGAGUAACGCGUGGGUAACCUGCCCUAAAGCCCGGGAUAACACCGGGAAACUGGUGCUAACACCGGAUACCUUCCGAAGAGGGCAUCCUUUUUGGAAGAAAGGUUAACGCUUUAGGAUGGGCCCGCGUCCCAUUAGCUAGUUGGUGAGGUAACGGCUCACCAAGGCAGUGAUGGGUAGCCGGCCUGAGAGGGUGGACGGCCACACUGGGACUGAGACACGGCCCAGACUCCUACGGGAGGCAGCAGUAGGGAAUAUUGCGCAAUGGGCGAAAGCCUGACGCAGCGACGCCGCGUGGGUGAUGAAGGCCUUCGGGUUGUAAAACCCUGUCCUUGGGGAAGAAGGAAGUGACGGUACCCAAGGAGGAAGCCCCGGCUAACUACGUGCCAGCAGCCGCGGUAAUACGUAGAGGGCAAGCGUUGUCCGGAAUCACUGGGCGUAAAGGGUACGUAGGCGGAUAUAUAAGUCAAAUGUGAAAGGCACCGGCUUAACCGGUGAGCUGCAUUUGAAACUGUAUAUCUUGAGUUCAGGAGAGGAGAGCGGAAUUCCUGGUGUAGCGGUGGAAUGCGUAGAUAUCAGGAAGAACACCAGUGGCGAAGGCGGCUCUCUGGCCUGAAACUGACGCUCAGGUACGAAAGCUGGGGUAGCAAACGGGAUUAGAUACCCCGGUAGUCCCAGCCGUAAACGAUGGACACUAGGUGUUGGGGGUUCGAAUCCUUCAGUGCCGAAGUUAACGCAUUAAGUGUCCCGCCUGGGGAGUACGGUCGCAAGACUGAAACUCAAAUGAAUUGACGG
rnacentral:rRNA from 1 species